rnacentral:rRNA from 1 species
AACGAACGCUGGCGGCAUGCCUAACACAUGCAAGUCGAACGAGACCUUCGGGUCUAGUGGCGCACGGGUGCGUAACGCGUGGGAACCUGCCCUUAGGUUCGGAAUAACUCCCCGAAAGGGGUGCUAAUACCGGAUAAUGUCUUCGGACCAAAGAUUUAUCGCCUUUGGAUGGGCCCGCGUUGGAUUAGCUAGUUGGUAGGGUAAAAGCCUACCAAGGCGACGAUCCAUAGCUGGUCUGAGAGGAUGAUCAGCCACACUGGGACUGAGACACGGCCCAGACUCCUACGGGAGGCAGCAGUGGGGAAUAUUGGACAAUGGGCGAAAGCCUGAUCCAGCAAUGCCGCGUGAGUGAUGAAGGCCUUAGGGUUGUAAAGCUCUUUUACCCGGGAUGAUAAUGACAGUACCGGGAGAAUAAGCGCCGGCUAACUCCGUA